rnacentral:rRNA from 1 species
AGCAGCCGCGGUAAGACGAAGGAUGCAAGCGUUAUCCGGAUUCAUUGGGCGUAAAGCGUGCGCAGGCGGUUAUGCAAGACAGAUGUGAAAUCCCCGGGCUCAACCUGGGAACUGCAUUAGUGACUGCAUAGCUAGAGUGCGGCAGAGGGGGAUGGAAUUCCGCGUGUAGCAGUGAAAUGCGUAGAUAUGCGGAGGAACACCGAUGGCGAAGGCAAUCCCCUGGGCCUGCACUGACGCUCAUGCACGAAAGCGUGGGGAGCAA